CGGGGAAACUCGAAUUAAUACCGCAUACGACCUACGGGUGAAAGGGGGCGCAAGCUCUUGCUAUUAGAUGAGCCUAAAUCAGAUUAGCUAGUUGGUGGGGUAAAGGCCCACCAAGGCGACGAUCUGUAACUGGUCUGAGAGGAUGAUCAGUCACACCGGAACUGAGACACGGUCCGGACUCCUACGGGAUGCAACAGUGGGGAAUAUUGGACAAUGGGGGCAACCCUGAUCCAGCCAUGCCGCGUGUGUGAAGAAGGCCUUUUGGUUGUAAAGCACUUUAAGCAGGGAGGAGAGGCUAAUGGUUAAUACCCAUUAGAUUAGAC
rnacentral:rRNA from 1 species